AUGGCUUAUCCUGGUAACUGUAGAUUGGUGCAGAGCUGUCUUGAGGCACCGUGGGGAAGACACCAUCCCAGAAGUCCUCCUCGCAGCCGGCCAGGCUUCUUUACCUGCCAGGGUCAUUUCAGCAGCUGGGCUGAGCCUGGAACUUACAUCAGGUGUGGCUUAAGCUCAAAUCUGGUUUGGGACAGAAACUCCAGCGUGGGCCCGCUUCCCUUAUUUAUGUUUUCCAAAAGGACGAAAGACAGGGAAGCGACGUCCUAGCUCGCGUAUUUAAACCCGGCAUAAGGCCAGCAGAGGUCCGCGUUUCUCAACUCUUUCCAAGAGCACCUCGCGUCCCGAAUCGGCGCCUUCAACUCUGAGAAGUCGGGAGCCCCACAGGAAACUUGCAUUACUGCAGCCGCUGCCACACACCGGGG
rnacentral:lncRNA from 1 species